GGAGCCCGGCCUGCGGUGACACGGGGGCGGGCCCGGCGAGGGCGGCCCCUCGCGGCCGGCGCGCGGGGACUGGGGCUGCGUGGGGGCGUGCCCCGCGCCCCGCCCGGCCCGCGCGCCGCGGGAUGCACAUGGGUGGCUGCACGCCGCCGCCGCUCGAACAGGAAAUGCACGCUCGGCCUGGGGUGGGGUCUUUUGUGUGGUCCUGCGGGGCGUCUCGCGGGGGCCCCGGGGCGCAGAGGCCACGGCGGGCAGCCCUGCACGCGACGCCGGGUACACGUCCUUGUGCCCCAGGAAGCGGGCACACGGGUUCCCGGGUUUGCACAAGCCAUGGGACCGGGACCUGAUGCCGGCGAACCCGGGAUACGGUAGAGAGGGAGUCAGCGUAAAACGUGGGGUGGUGCAGGCCGGAGUUCCGAUCGAGCUGCCUGACUUGGAGGCUGCCAAGGAGAACGCCCUGAAUUUUCAACACUCUGCCCUAAGACAAGGAAACUGAGGCACACUGCUGCUAGGAAAUGAAAGGACCUGGAUCUGAACCCAUAGGCAGUUGGAGCCUGGAGCCUGGGCUGUUAAUCGCACCACUCCAAAGCCUCAUGCCUGCGACAAGAGACAAGGAUGCUAAAUGAGACCUGCAUAAUAAUCCAAGUGAAAAACUCAGGCUUACGUGUUUCAUACUAAAUUUUGCAAAUUCUGUAUUCUUGGUUCAAAUUCAAUUUCAAGGCAGGUAGGUAUGGUUUUGAUAACCAAACUGCUGUCUGAUUGAUCUGUCAGGGGCCAACCAUGGAAGUGGGAAGCCAGGAUUAAGACAUGAUGAUGCGGUGGGUCCUCUCUAAAUGCUAAGAAGGCUCCUGGCAGCCACUAUCCUAACACCUCUUAAAAAUUCCUCUUCUGGGGGCUGGCCCCAUGGCCGGGUUGUUGGGUUCGUGUGCUCCACUUCGGCAGCCCAGGGUUUCCCUGGUUUGCAUCCUGGGCGCAGACAUGGCACUGCUCGUCUAAGCCAUGCUGUGGAGGCAUCCCACAUACAAAAUGGAGGAAGAUUGGCACAGAUGUUAGCUCAGGGCUAAUCUUACUCACCAAAAAAGGAAAAAAAUUCCUCUUCUGACACUUGCAAAGAGCUUCUCCCUCUACUUCCCACAAUCAAGUUUCCUUUAGCUUACUGGUCCACACAAUUAUCCAUCAUUUGUUUUGUAUUAACAGUGUGCUGGACUGUAUAUAAAAUACAUUGUGCCAGCCCUCACCCAGUAGACUUGCCACCUUAAAAUUUAGUGUUGACAUUGUACCUUUGACGUCAUCUUUGAGUGACCCUAAGAACUGAACACUCUCUCUGAGCCAGUGCUUACAGUCUUAGUAAGAGCUCCCUGAAACUCAUGCCACCUAGGCAGUUGGUGCUUGCCCUGAACCAGGAGGAUCCAGAACUUACACCAAGUGGUGAGGAACUAAGCAAAAACAAAUGGAAGCCAAGUCCCCCUCGGUCACAGUCGUUACCCACUUGCCUGCUUUCUCUGAGUGUCAUUUAAUAUUCUGGUCUAUCAGAUCAUGAGACACCAGGAAUGACCCCUAUCGGCCAAGAGAUUCUGCCCAGAUUUAGACACCUAAGGGUGCUGCAGGCUGUCCCAGGGCAGGGGUCAAGAGAAGAGGAAGAGGGAAGCCAUCCUCGCCAUCCUCAUUUCCAGGAAAGGGAAGGGAAAAGGGCAGACUGGGUAGUGCCCCUGGACUCUGGGAUUCCUGCAGGCGAGCAUCUCUCAGCAUGUGGCCCCUUUCCUCCUACUUAAGUCACAAAGGGCUGGGCAAAAGCUUGGAAACAUUAUUUCCAAAGGAUCGGGGCAGGGAAAGAGUCCUGAACCAGUGGACACCAUUUGUAAACAUGUCCCUAAGGAGGGAAGAGAAAUGACAGAGCAGGCAUGCACAGGGUCCCUUCCUGAUGCAAGUAAUAAUUUGUGCUUAACAGGCAAUAGAGAAUGCAUGCUUCAGUUAUUUUACUAUUAUUUUACCAUUUGUCUCUCUGUUCUUCAAUAGGUUUUUUCCCCCUUAAUGGCAAAAGAAGGUCUUUUGGAGAGUUAUUUUUCUAAUAAAAUGUAAAUAAGAAGAAUUUUUGCAUAGGGUUACAUAGCAACUUAGGACUGAUUCCGGGGUUGCCUGGAUAAAACUGUGGUUCAGAGAGUGACUGAAUGACAGACCAAGGGCUGCAGUGAUUUCUGUUAAGGAAAUUACUGAUGUUAUUUAAUUGCUUUUUAUUUUCCCCCUGGAGAGGCAUUCCACAAGCAUUUAAAAACCACGUGUAUUUGUCAUAUGGGUCUUUUAAACAGACCGAGCUUUCUGUUAAAUGGGGGUUCCUCUCCUAAUACUGUCUCCUUACAUUACCAAAAUCAACCAAUAAAUAUUUACAUUCACUGGAAGA